GGUGUUGGUUUUUUUUAUACAACCUUCAUUUUUGCAUAAUUUCUCUGUCAAAAUGCACUUUAAGGCACAAGAAAAUUUUGUAGAAUGCUUUAACAGGGUCUGUGUAUUGUAAUAAGAGGUUAUAAUCAGAAGUUUUGUCCUUGUUUUGACUAGUGAAGGUAUUCUGGAAGAAAUUACUUAUACAUACUCAUUGUAUUCAAAAUAAAUGAAUAUAGCGACGAAAGUGUCAUUGCC
rnacentral:lncRNA from 1 species